GGAGCUAAUACAUGCAACUAUACCCCAACGCAAGGCGGGGUGCAAUUAUUAGAACAGACCAAACGUUUUCGGACGUUGUUUGUUGACUCUGAAUAAAGCAGUUUACUGUCAGUUUCAACUGACUCUAUCCGGAAAGGGUGUCUGCCCUUUCAACUAGAUGGUAGUUUAUUGGACUACCAUGGUUGUUACGGGUAACGGAGAAUAAGGGUUCGACUCCGGAGAGGGAGCCUUAGAAACGGCUACCAC
rnacentral:rRNA from 1 species